rnacentral:ncRNA from 2 species
UUGCUAUAUCAAGAGUUGGGACAACCCAUGCCAACCUGUGUACCCGCACAAGGUGGAUUCAAGAUAUGGCCAUCUGGCAAUCAAUGGGAUCAUC